rnacentral:rRNA from 1 species
AGCGGCGGACGGGUGAGUAACGCGUGGGUAACCUGCCUCAUACAGGGGGAGUAACAGUUGGAAACGGCUGCUAAUACCGCAUAAGCGCACAGUACCGCAUGGUACCGUGUGAAAAACUACCGGUGGUAUGAGAUGGACCCGCGUCUGAUUAGCUAGUUGGAGGGGUAACGGGCCUACCAAGGCGACGAUCAGUAGCCGACCUGAGAGGGUGACCGGCCACAUUGGGACUGAGACACGGCCCAAACUCCUACGGGAGGCAGCAUG